AGUGGGGAAUAUUGCACAAUGGGGGAAACCCUGAUGCAGCCAUGCCGCGUGUGUGAAGAAGGCCUUCGGGUUGUAAAGCACUUUCAGUAAGGAGGAAAGGGUGUUAGCUAAUAUCUAACAUCUGUGACGUUACUUACAGAAGAAGCACCGGCUAACUCCGUGCCAGCAGCCGCGGUAAUACGGAGGGUGCGAGCGUUAAUCGGAAUUACUGGGCGUAAAGCGUGCGUAGGCGGUUUGUUAAGCAAGAUGUGAAAGCCCAGGGCUCAACCUUGGAACUGCAUUUUGAACUGGCAGACUAGAGUAUUGUAGAGGGUGGUGGAAUUUCCAGUGUAGCGGUGAAAUGCGUAGAGAUUGGAAGGAACAUCAGUGGCGAAGGCGGCCACCUGGACAAAUACUGACGCUGAGGUACGAAAGCGUGGGGAGCGAA
rnacentral:rRNA from 1 species